CCCCACUGCUAUCGGGGUGGGACUAAGCCAUGCAAGUCGUGUGCCUAUAAGCUAUGGAAAAGACACGGCAUACGGCUCAGUAACACGUAGUUAAUCUGCCCUAAGGACGGAGAUAAUCCCGGGAAACUGGGGCUAAUAUUCGAUAAAUGAAAAAACCUGGAAUGGUUUUUCAUUCAAAAGAUACAAAGACCAUGCUCUUUGCAUCGCCUUAGGAUGGGACUGCGGCCUAUCAGUUUGUUGGUGAGGUAAUGGCCCACCAAGACUAUUACAGGUACGGGCUCUGAGAGGAGUAGCCCGGAGAUGGGUACCGAGACACGGACCCAGGCCCUAUGGGGCGCAGCAGGCGAGAAAACUUUGCAAUGUGCGAAAGCACGACAAGGUUAAUCCGAGUGGUUUCUGCUAAAGGAACCUUUUGUUAGUCAUAGAACCACUAAUGAAUAAGGGGUGGGCAAGUUCUGGUGUCAGCCGCCGCGGUAAAACCAGCACCUCAAGUGGUCAGGAUGAUUAUUGGGCCUAAAGCAUCCGUAGCCUGCUUUGUAAGUUUUCGGUUAAAUCCAUACGCUUAACGUAUGGGCUGCCGGGAAUACUGCACAGCUAGGGAGUGGGAGAGGUAGACGGUACUCGGUAGGAAGGGGUAAAAUCCUUUGAUCUAUCGAUGACCACCUGUGGCGAAGGCGGUCUACCAGAACACGUCCGACGGUGAGGGAUGAAAGCUGGGGGAGCAAACCGGAUUAGAUACCCGGGUAGUCCCAGCUGUAAACUAUGCAAACUCGGUGAUGCAUUGGCUUGAUGCCAAUGCAGUGCCGCAGGGAAGCCGUUAAGUUUGCCGCCUGGGAAGUACGUACGCAAGUAUGAAACUUAAAGGAAUUGGCGGGGGAGCACCACAAGGGGUGAAGCCUGCGGUUC
rnacentral:rRNA from 1 species